rnacentral:rRNA from 1 species
GAUGAACGCUGGCGGCGUGCCUAAUACAUGCAAGUCGAGCGAACAGACGAGGAGCUUGCUCCUCUGACGUUAGCGGCGGACGGGUGAGUAACACGUGGAUAACCUACCUAUAAGACUGGGAUAACUUCGGGAAACCGGAGCUAAUACCGGAUAAUAUAUUGAACCGCAUGGUGCAAUAGAGAAAGACGGUUUUGCUGUAACUUAUAGAUGGAUCCGGGCCGACUUAGCUAGUUGGUAAGGUAACGGCUUACCAAGGCAACGAUGCGUAGCCGACCUGAGAGGGUGAUCGGCCACACUGGAACUGAGACACGGUCCAGACUCCUAAGGGAGGCAGCAGUAGGGAAUCUUCCGCAAUGGGCGAAAGCUUGACGGAGCAACGCCGCGUGAGUGAUGAAGGCCUUCGGAUCGUAAAACUCUGUUAUUAGGGAAGAACAAAUGUGUAAGUAACUAUGCACGUCUUGACGGUACCUAAUCAGAAAGCCACGGCUAACUACGUG